AUAAGAAUAAAGUGCAGUAUGUAUACUGUUUUGUAUGUAUUAUAUGAAUAAGGAUCGGCUAACUCCGUGCCAGCAGCCGCGGUAAUACGGAGGAUCCGAGCGUUAUCCGGAUUUAUUGGGUUUAAAGGGAGCGUAGGUGGACUGGUAAGUCAGUUGUGAAAGUUUGCGGCUCAACCGUAAAAUUGCAGUUGAUACUGUCAGUCUUGAGUACAGUAGAGGUGGGCGGAAUUCGUGGUGUAGCGGUGAAAUGCUUAGAUAUCACGAAGAACUCCGAUUGCGAAGGCAGCUCACUGGACUGCAACUGACACUGAUGCUCGAAAGUGUGGGUAUCAAACAGGAUUAGAUACCCUGGUAGUCCACACAGUAAACGAUGAAUACUCGCUGUUUGCGAUAUACAGUAAGCGGCCAAGCGAAAGCAUUAAGUAUUCCACCUGGGGAGUACGCCGGCAACGGUGAAACUCAAAGGAAUUGACGGGGGCCCGCACAAGCGGAGGAACAUGUGGUUUAAUUCGAUGAUACGCGAGGAACCUUACCCGGGCUUAAAUUGCAGUGGAAUGAUGUGGAAACAUGUCAGUGAGCAAUCACCGCUGUGAAGGUGCUGCAUGGUUGUCGUCAGCUCGUGCCGUGAGGUGUCGGCUUAAGUGCCAUAACGAGCGCAACCCUUAUCUUUAGUUACUAACAGGUUAUGCUGAGGACUCUAGAGAGACUGCCGUCGUAAGAUGUGAGGAAGGUGGGGAUGACGUCAAAUCAGCACGGCCCUUACGUCCGGGGCUACACACGUGUUACAAUGGGGGGUACAGAAGGCAGCUAGCGGGUGACCGUAUGCUAAUCCCAAAAGCCUCU
rnacentral:rRNA from 1 species